UACGAAGGGGACUAGCGUUGUUCGGAAUCACUGGGCGUAAAGGGCGCGUAGGCGGCUUUAUAAGUCGGGGGUGAAAGCCUGUGGCUCAACCACAGAAUUGCCUUCGAUACUGUAGAGCUUGAGACCGGAAGAGGUUAGUGGAACUGCGAGUGUAGAGGUGAAAUUCGUAGAUAUUCGCAAGAACACCAGUGGCGAAGGCGGCUGACUGGUCCGGUUCUGACGCUGAGGCGCGAAAGCGUGGGGAGCAAACAGG
rnacentral:rRNA from 1 species